rfam:Ostreococcus tauri, RCC4221, WGS project CAID01000000 data, contig: 16, chromosome: 16
GUCUUCGUAGUGUAGAUGGUUAUCACGCUAGGCUUUCACCCUAGAGACUCGGGUUCGAAUCCCGGCGAGGAAA